rnacentral:tRNA from 1 species
GGUCUGUUGGCGUAAUAGGUUGGCGCAGGAAUCUUAUACAUUUAAGGUUGUAGGUUCGAGUCCUACACAGACCA